GCAGGAGUGGCGGAAUGGCAGACGCGCAAGUUUCAGAUGCUUGUGAGUAAAAUCGUGUGGGUUCAAAUCCCAUCUCCUGCACCA
rnacentral:tRNA from 1 species